GAUGAACGCUGGCGGCGUGCUUAACACAUGCAAGUCGAACGGUGAAAGAGAGCUUGCUCUCUGGAUCAGUGGCGAACGGGUGAGUAACACGUGAGCAAUCUGCCCUUGACUCCGGGAUAAGCGCUGGAAACGGCGUCUAAUACCGGAUACGAGCUGCGAAGGCAUCUUCAGCAGCUGGAAAGAACUUCGGUCAAGGAUGAACUCGCGGCCUAUCAGCUAGUUGGUGAGGUAACGGCUCACCAAGGCGUCGACGGGUAGCCGGCCUGAGAGGGUGACCGGCCACACUGGGACUGAGACAUGGCCCAGACUCCUACGGGAGGCAGCAGUGGGGAAUAUUGCACAAUGGGCGCAAGCCUGAUGCAGCAACGCCGCGUGAGGGACGACGGCCUUCGGGUUGUAAACCUCUUUUAGCAGGGAAGAAGCGAAAGUGACGGUACCUGCAGAAAAAGCACCGGCUAACUACGUGCCAGCAGCCGCAGUAAAAC
rnacentral:rRNA from 1 species